rnacentral:lncRNA from 1 species
UAUACCUAAUUUUAGGAGUAAUCUAAUUUUAUUAAGCAGAUUAGAUUCAAACAGCUAUAGGUAGAGAGUUGAUGAUAGAAUCCUGAAGGUUUUGCAUGGCAGUAGGGUUGUGUUGAAGAAAAAGAGGUAUGGAGGAUAUUAUCUCCUGGUAGAGAGCUUAGCACGAGGUGGAGCUUCAGGAGUUAGUGGGAGCUUAGAGCAAGAUGGAGCUCCAAGAACAGAUAGAUUGGGCAUAUGACAGGAGACUCAGAAGGAUGACAGGUGACAUCGUAGGAUGAAGUUUUUAUUACCGCAGGAGACUAUCCCGAGCAGAUCUCAUAUCAGAUAGGUCACAACAUAUGAUAGAGAUGAGAUUGGGUGGCUUGGCUCGACUCUCAUAUUUAUCCAUUCAUGAUCAGUCAAAUAUUUGCCCCAGAACAUGGGGGCGAGAUCAUCUCCAAGCUCUC